rnacentral:rRNA from 1 species
AUUGAACGCUGUCGGCAUGCUUUACACAUGCAAGUCGAACGGUAACAGGCCGCAAGGUGCUGACGAGUGGCGAACGGGUGAGUAAUGCAUCGGAACGUGCCCAGUCGUGGGGGAUAACUACUCGAAAGAGUAGCUAAUACCGCAUACGAUCUAUGGAUGAAAGCGGGGGACCGUAAGGCCUCGCGCGAUUGGAGCGGCCGAUGUCAGAUUAGGUAGUUGGUGGGGUAAAGGCUCACCAAGCCAACGAUCUGUAGCUGGUCUGAGAGGACGACCAGCCACACUGGGACUGAGACACGGCCCAGACUCCUACGGGAGGCAGCAGUGGGGAAUUUUGGACAAUGGGCGCAAGCCUGAUCCAGCAAUGCCGCGUGCAGGAAGAAGGCCUUCGGGUUGUAAACUGCUUUUGUACGGAACGAAACGGCUCUGGUUAAUACCCGGGGCUAAUGACGGUACCGUAAGAAUAAGCACCGGCUAACUACGUG